CCCGCCCGCACCUCCUGCUUCCCGCAGACCUUCUCCCUGCAUCCCUACACACCUCGCCUCUCCAUUCUUUCCGGCUCCGGGACUCUCCCCGCGGAUCCCCCACAACACCCUGGGAUGGAGCGACUCCAGCCAGCCCGGAGCCCCCCGCGACCGGGGUGAAAGUCCUCCCCUCUCCUGCCCGGCAUUCGCCCCAACACCAUGGGCCUGAGGGGUUCCUGGGGCGCCGGACGCUGAAAAUGACGGAUGCUGGAGCUCUCUUGAGUCAUGGCUUCCUCAAAGCUUCGAGAACCUGUGGAUGAAGUUUUUGGCUUACACAAAGCCAGGGCUCAGCUGCUGGUCAAGGGUCGGAGACACCGGCCUUCCCGCUCCAGGCUACGUGACAGUACCAGCUCUGCUGAGGACGGUGAAGGCUCUGAUGGGCCCGGAGGUGACCGACGGCUGCGGUAGCCCGCUGCACCGGCUGCGCUCGCCUUUGCACUCGGGCCCAGGCUCCCCAGCCGGCGGCUCUUUCUGCCUGGAGCCACCGGGCUUGAGGCGCAGUCUGGAUGAGGA
rnacentral:lncRNA from 1 species